AGUUGGCGAACGGGUGAGUAACACGUGAGCAACCUGCCCCUGGCUCUGGGAUAGCCUCCGGAAACGGGGAUUAAUACCGGACAUGACCUGCUCCUGCAUGGGGGCGGGUGGAAAGUUUUUCGGCCGGGGAGGGGCUCGCGGCCUAUCAGCUUGUUGGGGGGGUAACGGCCCACCAAGGCGACGACGGGUAGCCGGCCUGAGAGGGCGACCGGCCACACUGGGACUGAGACACGGCCCAGACUCCUACGGGAGGCAGCAGUGGGGAAUAUUGCACAAUGGGCGGAAGCCUGAUGCAGCGACGCCGCGUGCGGGAUGAAGGCCUUCGGGUUGUAAACCGCUUUCAGCAGGGGCGAAUUUGACGGUACCUGCAGAAGAAGCGCCGGCUAACUACGUG
rnacentral:rRNA from 1 species